rfam:Camelus ferus unplaced genomic scaffold scaffold1095, whole genome shotgun sequence.
GGAGGAGACAGCUCAGUAGUAGAGUGCCUGCCUAGCAUGCACAAGGUCCUGGGUUCAAUCCCCAGUACCUCCA